CUCUUAUUCCUUUCUUUCCUUGGGCGUUUUCAGUUAUUUUGAAGUGCUUUCCUUUGGAUGUUGGUUUUAUUCUCCCACUCCUCCUCCCCCGUUCUUAUUAUUCAGAGUAUAAACCUGCAAAGCUCUGCUCUGUUUUGGUUUUGAAAUUUUAAGCUUUUCUGCUUCUGUGAGAGCACAGGCUUCUGUCCCUUUUGAUUCCAACUGAAAUUUUGUGUUCUCUAAUGAUACUAACACGGUGUAGGUUUUACAGUCUCCUAAUUUGUACUGGUAAUGCAUAUUCCAAAUAAAUAGUUUCUUUUGUUGCAAAAAAAAAAAUAUAUACUUGUAUUUGGUGUAAAUUUAUUUUCUUACCUGCUGAUAACUUCUCUUUCCCCAAACUAUGAUUUAGUUUAAUGUGGAUUAUAAUUUAAACUGUGGCCCUCAUCAUUUUAAAGUCUGCAUUUGCAGUGGGACAAAUUGAGUUACUUACCUCACCCACA
rnacentral:lncRNA from 1 species